rnacentral:lncRNA from 1 species
GGGGUUCAAGCCCAAGUCACUUGCGACAACCUCCUUCUUUUUUUGCGAACCAUUUGAAACAAUGGCAUUCUCCUUAUUUUCAGGACAUUUGUUCACAUAAUACCCAGGGUUCCUGCACAUUGAACAAGUUCUUGUAUUCUUUAUCGAGUUUUUUCCUGCUUUCAACCGCCUCUUCUUAGGACGUCCUUUAGUUACUGAUCGUGGAGGAUAAAGAAUAUCAGCACCAUCUAUAAAUUCAUUAUUUAUCAAAGUGAUAUCAUAUGCUGGUAAAUUUUGCUCCUCCAAAACUUCAAGCCCAUUGCUACCUUUUUCAAGGCACCAACGCAAAGGCAAAU